GACGAACGCUGGCGGCGUGCUUAACACAUGCAAGUCGAACGGUGAAGCGCCUUCCCUUUUGGUGGGUGUGGAUGAGUGGCGAACGGGUGAGUAACACGUGAGUAACCUGCCCCCUUCUUCUGGAUAACCGCAUGAAAGUGUGGCUAAUACGGGAUAUUCUGGGUCUGUCGCAUGAUGGGUCUGGGAAAGAUAUUGUUUCGGUGGGGGAUGGGCUCGCGGCCUAUCAGCUUGUUGGUGGGGUGAUGGCCUACCAAGGCGGUGACGGGUAGCCGGCCUGAGAGGGUGGACGGUCACACUGGGACUGAGACACGGCCCAGACUCCUACGGGAGGCAGCAGUGGGGAAUAUUGCACAAUGGGCGCAAGCCUGAUGCAGCGACGCCGCGUGAGGGAUGGAGGCCUUCGGGUUGUGAACCUCUUUCGCCAGUGAAGCAGGCCUGCCUCGUUUGUGGGUGGGUUGACGGUAGCUGGAUAAGAAGCGCCGGCUAACUGCGUG
rnacentral:rRNA from 1 species